UACAGAGGGUGCGAGCGUUGUUCGGAAUUAUUGGGCGUAAAGGGCGCGUAGGCGGUGCGGUAAGUCACCUGUGAAAUCUCCUGGCUCAACUGGGAGCUUGCAGGCGAAACUGCCGUGCUGGAGUGUGGGAGAGGUGCGUGGAAUUCCUGGUGUAGCGGUGAAAUGCGUAGAUAUCUGGAGGAACACCGGUGGCGAAGGCGCCCACCUGGCCUGUUACUGACGCUGAAGCGCGAAAGCUAGGGGAGCAAACGGG
rnacentral:rRNA from 1 species